UAACACGUGAAGGUAAACCAGACCGUUGG
rnacentral:piRNA from 1 species